AUUGGUAGACAAUGUUACUUCGCAAACAUUGCAUCUUACAUUCUUCAUAACAGGGGAGAAAGGUAAAAAUUAUUUAUUUAAAAAAAAAUUAUUUAGAUUAAAAUGGAAAUUAAAUCAUAUUAUUUCUCGUGGAAUUCUUUAAAAUGGUCAAUACAUAAUCGUACAUCUCAAAUAUGGCAUUUAAAGACCAUUUCCCUUCGAGUACGUUUAGAUCCAUUGGGGCAAUUAAAUUUUAGUUUACGUUAUAAAAUUAGAAUAGUUUUUAAAUUUGAAUUUGUUAAAUUUAAUUAAGAUUGACAGUACUUGCUCAUAGUGACAGUUGAAAAGAUUUUCACAACAAAAGUAAGACUUGUUUAGAAAAUAAUAAACUGAUAUAGGCGAGAUGUUGACAAACGGGUCAAACGUGAUCUCUCACAUCUGAAGAAUACUUAGCGACUGAAAUAAAAAGCAGUCGCAGCGCGCGUAAUAAUCCGCGCUUGGAUGCAAAUGGGUUAUGCAGAUACAAAAUAACGAUAGGAUACAAAGGCAAAGACAAAAGAGCGAGGAGAUAGAAAAUUAGUAUUUGUAAUUGUUGAAACUCAUUACAUAAAACUUCCUUAUUUGGGAAAUUGCUUGCCUCUGCGGUUAUUUGAAUUUCAAGCUACCAAUCAGAGAUCUACGCAUAUUGUUAACUACAAUUUUAACGGAUAAUGAAAAUUCAGUGGACGUUCCACUAAUAGUAAAGGGCCGCUUCAAUUAUUAACUUGCCAAUUUGCUAGUUCGUCUAAACGCGAUUGGCAGCGGUUAAAUUCCCAGUUCGUCUGAUUGGCCUGAGAUUAGGAGCAAUCUCGCUUUUGUGUUUCACGGUUCAUUAGAUAUUCUGCACCGUGCGUUUCUAUUUUCAGCUGAUGUUUAGCCAUCCAUUCGAAAGUAGACCAAUCCCAAUGACCAACUUCCAGUGUGUCCAUCGAUAUAUUCCGAAUCUUCACCGUUGUGUGUUGUGUUAUCGAUUUUUUCACAUCGUUUAACUCAACUACAGCUAUUGCUAUAACAGCAGAUAUAGCAUAGACAUGUUCAUAGUUGAAAAUUUACGAUUUUGCUUUCAAAACUAAUUCUUUUGCCAAGCGUGGCUUCUAAGAGAAAACAGGGUUUACAGAUUCGCGUUUAGCUCGCAAAAGUUUAGAAGAAACGUCUACUGAAAGUUGCAAGAUAAGAUUUGUUGAACAGUGUAAUUAAAGAUAACGAUCGUGAAAGUACCGAGCUAAUUGAGAAAUUUUUCAAAAUAAAGUACGGAUUAUUGCACUUUGACUGUUCGAAUUAAUAGCAAGAAGCAUACACUUUGUCUUCGCUUUGUUCAAACUGCUUCGAAAUUCGAAAAAGAAGCAUCGAUUUGGAAGAAACCCGCAUCUUCGAAGCGCCCAGGUUUAACGAAGUGUAAACAACAUUUCUUUGUUUUCUUUUCAGGUUUUUCAACUGUUAUUCCAACUUCUAGAUAGAAAAUAAGAGGAACAUAAAUGUACUAGCUGUCCGGCCGCGCCUUCGUCCUCACAACCCUCGAAUUUAUGUUUAUUGCUCUCUGUUUGAACGCUCCUUUAGGACUUGAAUUUCGAAAAACGCUCCAACACGAGAUUAUUUAUUUCUAACGACCAGCUUAUUUGCCGCAUCCUAAAUCACCAGCUUUAACCGAUAUAGAGACACGGUUUUCCUCUGACUAAACAACUUAUCCCCUUUUGUCCCCAUUAAGGGUUGAAUUUCGAAAAACGCUGAAACACGCGUUUGUUUAUUUUUUGUGCUGAUUUCUAGUGAAUUUUUAAUGAGCGCACAACUACAGCUACUCGUGGGAUAUGAGUUGUUUUAAAAAAAGUUGUUACUCCAGUUUUACCCCUUUAGAGAGCGUAUUAUUUCGAUCAUUUGAAUAAUAAUUUAAUAUUAUUAUUAUAUUAUAUUAUAUUGUUAUAUCAUAAUCAUUUUAAUAAUAAUUUAAAUCAUUUCUUAUUCCACGUUUGCAUCAUAAAAGAAAUAUACCGUGCAGAUUUCACGUUUCUAGCGAUUUGGAUUCAUUGAUGGAUUUCGAAGAGAAAUGGAUUUCUCUGAAAAUUUAGCUGUCUAAAUUUGUUUCAUGAAAAUAUGUCGUAAUUUUUCCACUUCUUUAUUCCAGAAGCAAAAACAUCGUAUAUCGUUCGUGUGAUUAUGCUACUCGCGUUUCUCGUUUCACUGCUAAUUGCGUCCCUGCAUUGUUCAUUUCUUCCAACGUUCUUCGUAAUAUCGCAUUUUAUAAUAUUCUUUCUCUAAUAUUCUGUUUUUAGGAAACGUCGUUUGGAAAUGGAAAGUUACGUCUGCUGAGUUAGAAAUCGUUUUAAUCCGAGAUAAUAAGCGUCAGCUAAACGACUGCUAUGACUAUUGGUCCAUGAUACUCUUCCACUUGUAUCUCGUUGCCCAUGCAGAUGUUUUAAAUAAAAUCAGAAUAAAAAUUCGACAGAAAUUAAACGACUCUUAUAGAAGUAUCCCUAUGCUAUGACGUGACUUUAGUAUUUUAUGGAGGCACGUUAUGGCGAUCUAUAUACGUAAAUGUGUUUCUGGGAGGUCCACGAUCUAUUUCAGAAAACAUCACACGCUGCGUUCGUGGCGUCGAUUUCAUUCGCAUUUCGUGAAGAAAACCUGGUUAAUUACAAUUUCUUUAGUGAAGAAUAACAGUGUUUGAAUAACCACAGCUUCAGUUUAUAUCGAUAUAAAAAUACGAUAUCGGUCAGAUCAAUUCAGAUCAGAUCGGUAAUUGCAUAUGAAAUUCAUUAUUUUGAUGAAUGAAAUGUUCCUCUUCUACUUUGUGGUAUUUUUCUUUACCAACUAUGACAUUAGUAUUACUACUACACUAUUACUAACAAGAAGAGAAAGAACAGAAGUUUCUUCGUUAUUUGACACCUGUAGUUUUUCAAAAUCUCGUUAUUUGUACUCAAUAUUACACACUUGAAGAUUAAACUACUACUACUACACUACUACUAACUAUUACUAACAAGAAGAGAAAGAACAGAAGCUUCUUCGUUACUUGACACCUGUAAUUUUUCAAAAUCUCGUUAUUUGUACUGAUUAUUACACGCUUGAAGAUUAAAUAAUUUUAUGCUUGUUUUAUUUUAUUCGUCUCUCCAUUCUAUUUAUUCUGUGUAAAAUUCUGUUGUGUAAAAUUAACGACACUUGUAGUUUUCCAAAAUCUCGUUAUUUGUACUCAAUAUUACACUCUUGAAGAUUAAAUAAUUUUAUGCUUGUUUUAUUUUAUCUCUUCAUUCUAUUUAUUCUGUGUAAAAUUAACGACACCUGAAGUUUUCCAAAAUCUCGUUGUUUGUACUCAAUAUUACACGCUUGAAGAUUAAAUAAU